AGAGUUUGAUCCUGGCUCAGAGCGAACGCUGGCGGAAUGCUUAACACAUGCAAGUCGCACGCCCCGGCAACGGGGAGUGGCGGACGGGUGAGAAACGCGUAGGAACAUGUCCGAAGGUGGGGGACAACCCUGGGAAACCGGGGCUAAUACCGCACGUGCCCUGAGGGCAAAGCCGCGAGGCGCCUUCGGAGUGGCCUGCGUCCGAUUAGCUAGUUGGCGGGGUAACGGCCCACCAAGGCUACGAUCGGUAGCUGGUCUGAGAGGACGACCAGCCACACUGGGACUGAGACACGGCCCAGACUCCUACGGGAGGCAGCAGUGGGGAAUAUUGGGCAAUGGGCGCAAGCCUGACCCAGCAAUUCCGCGUGGGUGAAGAAGGUCUUCGGAUUGUAAAGCCCUUUCGGCGGGGACGAUGGUGACGGUACCCGCAGAAGAAGCCCCGGCCAACUUCGUGCCAGCAGCCGCGGUAAUACGAAGGGGGCUAGCGUUGCUCGGAAUCAUUGGGCGUAAAGGGCGCGUAGGCGGCCUUGUCAGUCAGGCGUGAAACCCCUGGGCUCAACCCAGGAACUGCGCUUGAUACGGCGGGGCUAGAGGAUGGAAGAGGGCCGCGGAAUUCCCAGUGUAGAGGUGAAAUUCGUAGAUAUUGGGAAGAACACCGGUGGCGAAGGCGGCGGCCUGGUCCAUUUCUGACGCUGAGGCGCGACAGCGUGGGGAGCAAACAGGAUUAGAUACCCUAGUAGUCC
rnacentral:rRNA from 1 species